rnacentral:lncRNA from 1 species
CUGUCUCAUCAAAACAACUAUAUGAAUGAUAUUUGCCUACUUUAAUUGACAAGGGAAUAGAGAGACACAGUGGAUGAGAAAUGUGCCUAAAGUUUUAUGCUUGAAUCUAAAAGCCACCAACUCUCCCCCUAAUCCUCUAGUGACUUGCAGAGAAGUAUGGAUCUUUAUAAACCACAGGAUAAUUAAACUUUACUGAAGCUAAAAUCUGGGGAUUACAGAAACUGUCAAUAAUUAGAGGAACGUUUAAUGAUACUUCAAAGCAUAAAGGAUACUAUCCUUCAGAAAUGGGAGCUAUCCAGAAAUCUUAACACACCAGAUUAUGAUCACGAUGGUCGGAAAAGUCUCAAAUCAGCUAUACAAUAUAAGGAAGAGAUACUGCCUUGUUAGACUUGGGGAAGAGAUAGUCACUUGACACUGAUCAGAAGGAGGCUGGGCAACUUUUACACACCGGAAUCUAUAACCAAGAUUAUAAACGGAACCCAGGUGAUACACUUGGGUUUGUCCUCAUGUUUCUUUUCCUCAUUUUAACUCAGAUACAUCCAGCAGUCAUGGCUUCAAAAGCAUAUGAUCAAAGAUCAGAAAACCCCUCCCAAAGUACUGGGAUUACAGGUGUGAGCCACCGCACCCAGCCCAUUAUUAUUUUUUGAGACAAGUCUCGCUCUGUUGCCCAGGCUGGAGUGCAGUGGCAUGAUCUUGGCUCACUGCAACCUCCACUUCCUGGGUUCAAGCGAUUCUCCUGCCUCAGCCACCCGAGUAGCUGGGAUUACAGGUGCGUACCACCACACCCAGCUAACUAUUUUUUGUAUUUUUAGUAGAGAUGGGAUUUCACUGUGUUAGCCAGGAUAGUCUCGAUCUCCUGACCUCAUGAUCCGCCUGCCUCGGCCUCCCAAAGUGCUGGGAUUACAGGCGUGAGCCACUGUGCCCAGCUGAAAACAUAAAACUUAUAAACAUGGAGGUGAUUCAUCAUGUUGUCAGGCAAUACCAAAAAAAAAAAGAGGGGGUGACGGUUAGAAAAAGAGCAUAAAAAAGACCAAGAAAACUGUAUGUCUCAGAUAUGCUGCACUAACUAGUCUUGUUUUUAGUGAGUCUCUAUUUAUUAAAAAAAUAGAUGAAGUAAGGGUGAGGUCUUUUUUGUCUUUUAG